ACAUAUUCACUCAAAGACAUCAAUGUCCCUUUGAUUUUUAAAUGAUAAAAAAAGUUUGAAAAUAAAUAAACAACAAACAAAAUUAUUAUUUUUUUCAAAUAAAAAGAAAACAAAAAAUAUAAUAUUUAUUUAUUUUAAAUAAAAGUAAAUAGAACAAAAAAAAAUUGCUUUAUUUAUUUCUACUUAUAUGUUCAUGACAGUUUGAUUAAAAAAUUAAAA
rnacentral:lncRNA from 1 species